rnacentral:rRNA from 1 species
UGAGCAAUCUGCCCUUCACAUCGGAAUAACCAUUGGAAACGAUGGCUAAUACCGAAUAUGACUUCGGAUCGCAUGAUCUGAAGUGGAAAGCUCCGGCGGUGAAGGAUGAGCACACGGCCUAUCAGCUUGUUGGUGAGGUAAUAGCUCACCAAGGCGAUGACGGGUAGCCGGCCUGAGAGGGUGACCGGCCACACUGGGACUGAGACACCGGCA